rnacentral:rRNA from 1 species
CUGCCCAUAUCUGGGGGAUAACAGUUGGAAACGACUGAUAAUACCGCAUAAUAUGGUUUGAAGGCAUCUUCGAACCAUCAAAGAUUUAUCGGAUAUGGAUGAGCUCGCGUCUGAUUAGCUAGUUGGUGAGGUAACGGCUCACCAAGGCGACGAUCAGUAGCCGACCUGAGAGGGUGAUCGGCCACAUUGGAACUGAGACACGGUCCAAACUCCUACGGGAGGCAGCAGUGGGGAAUAUUGGGCAAUGGAGGAAACUCUGACCCAGCAACGCCGCGUGAAUGAUGAAGGUCUUCGGAUUGUAAAGUUCUUUUCUAAGGGAAGAAGAAAGUGACGGUACCUUAGGAAUAAGCCUCAGCUAACUACGUGCCAGCAGCCGCGGUAAUACGUAGGAGGCAGGCGUUAUCCGGAAUGACUGGGCGUAAAGGGUGCGUAGGUGGUUUGGCAAGUUAGUAGCGUAACUCCGGAGCUCAACUUCGGAACUACUACUAAAACUGUCGGACUUGAGUGCAGGAGGGGCAACUGGAAUUCCUAGUGUAGCGGUGGAAUGCGUAGAUAUUAGGAGGAACACCAGUGGCGAAGGCGAGUUGCUGGACUGUAACUGACACUGAGGCACGAAAGCGUGGGGAGCAAACAGGAUUAGAUACCCUGGUAGUCCACGCCGUAAACGAUGA